rnacentral:rRNA from 1 species
AGUGAACGCUGGCGGUAGGCCUAACACAUGCAAGUCGAACGGCAGCACAGGAGAGCUUGCUCUCUGGGUGGCGAGUGGCGGACGGGUGAGGAAUACAUCGGAAUCUACUCUGUCGUGGGGGAUAACGUAGGGAAACUUACGCUAAUACCGCAUACGACCUACGGGUGAAAGCAGGGGACCUUCGGGCCUUGCGCGAUUGACUGAGCCGAUGUCGGAUUAGCUAGUUGGCGGGGUAAAGGCCCACCUAGGCGACGAUCCGUAGCUGGUCUGAGAGGAUGAUCAGCCACACUGGAACUGAGACACGGUCCAGACUCCUACGGGAGGCAGCAGUGGGGAAUAUUGGACAAUGGGCGCAAGCCUGAUCCAGCCAUACCGCGUGGGUGAAGAAGGCCUUCGGGUUGUAAAGCCCUUUUGUUGGGAAAGAAAUCCAGCUGGCUAAUACCCGGUUGGGAUGACGGUACCCAAAGAAUAAGCACCGGCUAACUUCGUGCCAGCCGCCGCGGUAA